CCAGUUAAUAUUCUGGUACCGACACACAACCGACAAUACCAAAACACAUGAGACUAACUCCCCGGUCCACCCGUGGCGUCUUCGGAUGUCUGGUUGGUGGGUUGGUGAGGACCUGAGUGUGGAGUCGGUAAGCGUGAGGUGUGACGCAGAAAGGUAGCCAGGCCACGCGAUGGUAGUCGUGGUCUAAGGUCGUAGCAUGUGGGGGUAGGCAAAUCCGUCCCCACACAAGUGUGAGAGCUGAUGGGCGCCCCACAGUGGUGGGGUGGUCUGGUGAUCCUCUGCUGCCGAGAAAAGCAUCGACGUGAGGGUGUGUGUUGCCCGUACCCUAUAACCGACACAGGUGGUCAGGUAGAGAAUACUAAGGUGAUCGAGAGAAUCGUGGUUAAGGAACUCGGCAAAAUGCCCCCGUAACUUCGGGAGAAGGGGGGCCAUCCUGGUGAACAGCCCUUGCGGUUGGGAGCUGGUGGUGGUCGCAGAGGCCAGAGAGAAGCGACUGUUUAUUAAAAACACAGGUCCGUGCGAAGAUGUAAGUCGAUGUAUACGGACUGACGCCUGCCCGGUGCUGGAAGGUUAAGAGGACCCGUUAACCCUUGGGUGAAGCGGAGAAUUUAAGCCCCAGUAAACGGCGGUGGUAACUAUAACCAUCCUAAGGUAGCGAAAUUCC
rnacentral:rRNA from 1 species